GUGCUUGCUUAGGCAGCACAUAUACUAAAAUUGGAAUGAUACAGAGAAGAUUAGCAUGGCCCCUGAGGAGAAUGACAUGCAAAUUCAUGAAGUGGUCCAUAUUUUG
rnacentral:snRNA from 1 species